rnacentral:rRNA from 1 species
AGUGAACGCUGGCGGCAGGCCUAACACAUGCAAGUCGAACGACCACACAGUAAGCUUUUGCUCCUACCGGUGGCGACGGGCGGACGGGUAACGAAUGCAUCGGCUUCUUCUUUUUCUUGGGUGACAACGUAAGGCAACUUCCGCUAACACAUCAUAUAUCCUACGGCAUAAUUCAAGAGUUCUUCGCGGCUUUCCUGUCUCUUUUAGCUGAUUCCGCGUCGCAUUAGCUAGUUGGUAAGGUAACGGCUUACCAAGGCAACGAAGCGUAGCUGACCUGAGAGGGUGAUCGGCCACACUGGAACUGAGACACGGUCCAGACUCCUACGGGAGGCAGCAGUAGGGAAUCUUGCACAAUGGGCGCAAGCCUGACGGAGCAACGCCGCGUGAGUGAAGAAGGUCUUCGGAUCGUAAAGCCCUGUUAUUAGGGAAGAACAACUGUAUAUGUAACUAUGCACGUCCUGACGGUACCCAAAGAGAAAGCAACGGCUAACUACGUG